rnacentral:lncRNA from 1 species
AAUGAUAAGAGGUGCACGUGCAGCCAACUCUCUCCUUCUACCAGAGCCAAGGGGGAUUAACCAACGAAGUUGUGCACCAAGAGAUGACUCAGACAUUUGUCUUCCUCUCUCCUUCUACCAGAGACCAGGGGGAUUAACCAACGAAGCUGUGCACCAAGAGAUGACUCAGACAUUUGUCUUGAACGUGCAAUUUCAAAAUAGAAGUGUAAGACCUGGCUGCAAAGGUUGACGAGGUAAGUUUCCACUUCAGAAUCUUCAAAACCUGUAGGUUUAUCUUGCACAAGAUUUUGUAAAAAUGAGAGGAAUAUUUGAUAUGCCUCAUUCUCAAGCCGUAAUAAUGGAGGGUCCUGCAUUUGGGUCAUGGAACUGAACUCUAGAAGCUUUGACCGCAGUGUUGCGUCACUGUUUAUCUUAUGAGCAUGAGACGCCACACCAUGCAUUGCAUCAAAGAGGAAUAUUUGAUGUGCCUCAUUCUCAAGCCGUAAUAAUGGAGGGUCCUGCAUUUGGGUCAUGGAACUGAACUAUAGAAGCUUUGACCGUAGUGUUGCGUCACUGUUUAUCUUAUGAGCAUGAGACGCCACACCAUGCAUUGCAUCAAAGAGGACAAUGAUGUUUUUGCUAGACAGCUGAGGUCUGUACAUGUUGUAGAUCUCCAUCACAGCCUGCAAUGUGCAAGCGACCAUUAUGGUAGGAAUUAUUCUUUCCAGAUUUACACGAAAAGCAGGAAAGAUUAAUCAAAUUGACCAUACAAGGUUUCCAAUAAUAUCAAUGUUCUUUCUGAAGACGUGACAUUUAAGGAAGCACACACUCCCCGUACUUCAGCGAAUGAACUAAAUAAGAAUACAAAAGAUAUCCCGAGUGCAAGGCCCCCGUACUUCAGCGAAUGACCAAAAUAAGAAUACAAAAGAUAUCCCGAGUGCAAGUAAACACCUAGAAAGAGAAACACAACCGUCAAACACCAAAAACACGAACGCCUAUCAUAUCAAAGAUCGUCCUACAGGAUUCUGAGAUAUUCUGAGUCUCUUAUCUCAAACUACAGAGAUCAGCAGUACAAAGAUUGUCUGAAAUUUGAGAAGGCAUCAAGAGUUCAUAGUAUUAAUCAAUUAUAAUUUGAUACUCUUUUUCCCAGUUGUAAUCAUACAUAAAAGAAACUAUAAUGAAAUAAAAUAGGUACUAACUUCUACGAAGACGUUACUAGUUACAGUUGUAAUUAUCAAAAAAUAAACUAGUACUAAUCUCAGAUUGGUUAAAAACUGUGACAAAAGAUAACGGAACCGUAAAUCGAUAACUCGUGAAUGCUAGGUUUUUUAUCAAGUGGAGUACUUAUCCGGUUAUCUGUCCUUAUUAAAAUAUCUUAGCCAACCUUCAUCAAAUUACUCAUAUUCGAAUAUGAACUUCACGGUAUCUCCUUCUAGACAUUUAAAAAUACCACUAAUUUCCAACAUAAAUCCGUUAUAUUAUAUCCAUAUAUACAUGUCUAACUUAAGAGUAUGAAAAAACACUAGCACGCCAGAUAUACAUGCGUUCAAAAUUUCUAACUGUGCCUAUAUAUUUUUAAACCAAAUCUUAUAUGGCAACCCCACAUUUCUCCACUUAAUUUGACACGUUAUCCACCUUCAAUUUGUGUCUAACAAUGUCAACUCAAGCCACAAGAUAUUCAAAAGAGAUUUUAAACAGUACGACAUUCAUUGAGCUUUCCGAGUCCAUCACACUAAUCAUUUUAUGCGGGAACAUGAAGCAAUAUACUGAUUAAGCCCUUUCUCUGGUACCCUUAACAUAGUGCAUACUCUUUACUUGCUUCAGCAGAGCAUAUAUAACUGAAUUAGAACUAAACCAACACUAGUGGCUAUGCUGGAUACCUGAAUUAGUAAUAGCUGAAACUCAGCCCUACACUUCACAUCAGAAAUAGCUUCAUAUAGACGGUGCCUCCUCAAUUUUUCCAAGUCCUCAUCUGGAGUAUCUGUCCUAGUGGUUUCAGCAUUGCUAUUCCCAGCCAUAUCUUCUUCCUGGGACCAAUAAUUGUUAUUUUCAUUCAGAAGAAAAGAGAAGUCGGGAAGAGUUGCAUUAGCUGCUUCUUUAAGGGAUAAAACUACUUCAAGCCAUUUGUCUUCAGAGAAAAGAUUCCCAGCAUUGCUCAUUAGACGGACAAAUGCAGCAAUGCCAAUACCAUCAAGGCUCUGAUGAGGACGCUUGACAAAAUUCACCAAUAAGAACAGCACUUUCUUCGGAAGUGGAUUGACCGUGUCACAAAAUUUAACAAAAAGAUCUACGACCAGUUGGAGUGCCAGUGUGCAGGUCUCAUAAAGCCAUGCAUCCUGAUCAGGCUCACCCUCUUCAUCAUCAUUUCCGUGCAUCGGUGAGUUUUCCCCUGAAGGAUCAAUCGUAUGUCGAACAUAGUCAAAGAUUGGAAAUAGGACAGAUUCAAACACCCUUUCCCAUAAUGAUAGAGAGAAAUGGUGCCCGUAAUUGCGUAAGGUAUCAAACAGCACUUGCAGAGCAUUCUUUCUAAUUUCAGGCCUCGGGUCGAAGCUAAGUUCAGAUAGUCCUGUAAGAAAAAAAGGAAUAAUUUCUUAAACAAGUAUAACAAAUAUUAAGCUAAACUUGUCUCACCACAAAGAACAGUGAAAGAGAGCAUUUGCAUUACAGGUAUGAAAUCCUGGUCUAAGUCUGUCCUUACCAGCCAACAGAGGAAACCAGAAAUACAGAUGGACGUCCUCCUUAUCUGUCAAUUCUCCAUUUUCAAUAUUGUAGUCUUUUUCUUUAUGAGGUGAAGAUGGUGAAGGCUUCCCAAAAGUUUCUUUGUCCUUGUUUCUCGAGGAGCCAAGAUCACCUUCAGCAAGUUUUGCCGCACAUAAACAAAGGAAAGCAAUGGCAUUGAGACUAAUAUCUUUGUUGAACCUACUAUUAGUGAAUGCAAUAAGGCAGUUAACGCAGUCUGUGAAUGUGGUGGUCUCAGUCUCCGUAAUAUAUGGAAAAUAAUCUCGCUAAUGCAAUAAGGCAGUUAACGCAUUCUGUGAAUGUGGUGGUCUCAGUCUCCGUAAUAUAUGGAAAAUAAUCUCGGACAAACUUUUCCAUUAUCUCAAAAGACAACAGCACAAUGUUUUUAUGGUCAUCAUAAGCAGCAGUGGUGAAGACCUGAAAACGUUAGGUAAUCAGAAAGAAAAAAACAUUAGGUGAAAAGAACAAACUAGAAAUUUAAGAAAAGAAUGCAUAUUCAGUAUUAACAUGCAAUCUAUAAUGGAGUAAAGAUCAAGAGAUGGUUUAUACCAUGAACAUGCUCUUCCAUCCGGACUUCACAUGAUUGACUCGAGAUAAAACCAUUUGAGAGACGCAUCUGAUGAUUAAUUCUCUGAUCUCAACAGCACUACUCUUGCGCAUGACAAUCACAAAAGGCUUCAUAAACUCAUUCUGGAAAUUAUAGUUAGCCAACUCUUCUCUCUCCAAGAACUUCAUUGAUAACUGGCGUAAAGAAUCCAUUGCAAAUAUGGCAAUUGAAAGAUCUUCGGAGCAGCCAAUGGUCACAAAAAAUUCACCAAGAACUUGCCAGAUUUUUGUCCAAACAAAUCUGAUACGAUUCAUAUUGUAGUGCCUGUUUAACGAAAAUGAAUCAAUUUCUGCUAGUUAUCAGGAAGAGAAAGGGAAAGCAAAAUAUACACUUUAUGUAAAGAAACCAAAGAACGUACGCAAUCUCAACCAUCUUUGUGAGACUAAAAACCCGUGGAUCCGAAGUAGAACGUAAUUCUUCCAUGGAGACCUUGCAUAAAGCUUUAACAAAGUCCACUAUAGCCUCGCUGUUUAGAGACCUUGCAUAAAGCUUUAACAAAGUCCACUUAGCCUCACUGUUUAAUUUCUGACUCCUUAUGAAUAUGCAGUUCAUUUCACCAACUUGUUCCAACAUGUUUAAGUUAGAGACCAAGUUGUUCAUCUGCUCAGAUGUGAUGCCUGCAGCAGCACUGCCACCAAUACCAGCACUAUCGUAUGAACCUCUCCUCAUAGCUGCAGCUGCACUUUGAAUCUUCCCAGGACCUUUCUUUUUCAAGACAGGAAGGAUGCUAGACUUAGUUUGAUUUGACUUGUCAAAUUCAUUUUGAGGAAGUGCAAAGAAAGCAGCAUCCGGAGGGGCACCCUCCCCCAACAGAUGCAGAUGUUCAAACCGAGAAACGCAUGUCAGAAUAUGUUCCCAUGCCUCCUGCAGGUAGUUUCCAUGGGUCCCCUGCAUAUAAAUCUAGCAAAAAGCUUAAUCUUCUAAAUGAACUCCAUGGACUACAAGAGUUAAGAAAGAAUAUAAGAUGUAAGAUUGAGAUUCUGCAUGAAAACAUUUGGGCAUGCCUCUCGGAGCAAGGAAUAAAUUGGUGCCAUUAACUCACACGGUAGGACCAACCACAACCUUUGAAACUCAGGGAUAAGCCCGCCCCUAUACCCUUCUCCACUUAAAUAACAGGCUUAGUUUGUUGGUGUAGGUAUAAGUCUGCCCCUCUACUUCUAAUAGUGUUAUUUUUAUGGAGAGUCAGAGCAUCCAUUACCAAAUGGUAAGUGGUAUUAAGCUUGAAAAAACCCAUUUCCCCUUAAGUUUCUUCAGUUAGAGGGGGACGGAUCUCAGUUGCCGGUAGUGGCGGAGCCAGGAUUUACAUUAAGGGUAGUCAAAAUAUAAAGAAAUAAACGCACCAAGAAAUCAAGGGGUGUCAAUAUACAGUAUAUAUACAUUUUUUUGAAACGGAGGAAGUAUUAAUUUAUGAAUUCAUUAAUUUCAAGAUGCACUGAAUUUAAUGGUACGAAAUAAUAUAUUGAACCCAUCAAAGAUUAAAUUUUGGAUCUACCUUUACAUUUAAUUUCAACUAGUUAGACGCAAAAGUGGAUCCAAAAUUUAAACUUGAUAGGUUCGGCCUUUAAGGUUCUUAUAAUUGAAUUUUUAAAAUUAUGAGUUGAGAUGUACUAAUAUUUAUUGAAAUUUUGUGAGUUUUCACAACAUACCCAAUAUUUUCUCACACCGUGGGGAGGAUAAUGUGUACGCAGACUUUAUUGAAAUAUUUGGUUGGAAUGAAUCCGUUGACAAAGAGCUAAUGAAUGCAUUACCUGAUUCUCAGUGCUUCUAGGUUUUGCUCAUGAUCCCCAUUAUUAGCAUCAUCAUUCGGAUAGAUUUUAGGCUCUGGAACUUCGACAUGUUUCUCUGAGUCUGCUGCUGAUGACUCUCCAACAUGUCCAUCUGAAGUAGGCAAUGAAUCAGUUUUCUCAGUCCCAUUUGUCUGCUUCUUGUGUAGUAAAGAGGACCAUGUCUCAAUCUUCCCCUCUACUUUUUUAACCAAACCCUUUGCAAAUUGUGUGAAGCCUUGUGCCAAUGAUACCACAGGGUUAACUACUGUUGAUCCAAUGGUAGCCUUGGUUUCAUCAGAAUUCAGCUUUUCUACCACCAUUUUUCUAGACUGUCAAAUUCUUUUUUCAACAAAUCUGAACUCUGUUCGCCACCGGCGGCAGUAGCAUCAGCAGGUGUCACCAACAUUGUUUCUCUAUGUUCUAUGCCGUCAAAUUCUUUUUUCAACAAGUCUGAACUCUGUUCGCCACCGGCGGCAGUAGCAUCAGCAGGUGUCUCCUUGUUCGUGGUGGUUUCUAAAUUCUGGCUGUCCUCUUGGUUGAAGAGUUUAUCAGAUUCAUCCAUGUUCUCGCAGAAAUCUUUCCUUAAAUAUUCUUUUUUUUUCUCUUUGUUGGCUUAUGAUUUAGUUCACAAGAAAAAUGUGAACAAAAUGUCUUGAUAUAGGAUCAUGACUUAGUGUAGACGCAGAUAUUACUAAAAUAUAAAAAUUUUAAUAACUUUUUAGGUUUAGGUGGAUGACCAUAAACAUGUUACUAACAGUGGCAUUAGUUGUCGACAGAGUAAUGAGCUAAACGUGAUCAUAAGUUAGUGAUACACAGAUUACCAAUAUACAAUAAUAAUAGUAGGUAAUAGUUUUUUUUUAAAAAAGGAUGAGAAUGUCAUGGAGGACCAAAAUAAAAAAAGAUGAAUGCCAAGUCAAAAAAUGAGGCCUGCACAUCCAAUUGUUUAAAGGUUAAAGUAGUGCUGGUCGGAGAAACGCGGUCCUGGACCUCUUGGGGCCAGUCUGGCUAUUUAGAGGCGGAAAGUACAUGUUAAUGAUGAACUGGAUCAAUAAGGAUUCAUACCGUCGACUUCAACAGGAGUGAGGCAAAUAAUUUUUAUUGUUGUAUGUAGACCUAGAUGACAACCUGGAGGUGGGAGACGGCUUGGACUGUAACAGCUAGCAGUAGGAUAAUCCAGCCCUGCACAUGGUGGCAAAUCUUUCACUUGAUCUGCUCCACCGUGCGCAUCGGUCGGUUCGGUUGUGAAUAUUAUCGAUUUGGCAUAUUGGUUAUCAAUUUAUAAAUAUGAUAAACUGAUAAGAUAUCGGUUAAUCGGUUAUCGAUCGCCAUCAGAGGGAAGAAGUAACGAAGGAUAAUGUAUACUGUAUAAAGAAUAUGAUAAACUUUCUUUAUUAUUGUAACCCUCUCAAAGAAUAUGAUAAAUCUUAACAACAUUGUUUCUCUAUGUGUUGAAUGACACAUUUGGGAGGGUUACAACAGUAGGUAGAGAAUUGUGAGAACGGAAAAAUUUAUAUACCCAAGGAUAAAAUCGUAUUUUAAUAAAGUUUAUUGGGUUAUCGGUUAAACCGUUAAUAAAAUUAGGCAAAUCGAGGCCCGAACCAAUAGAAUAGUAAAAUAUCGCUAUAUCGUUACCAAAUUGUUAACCUAAUAACCCGAUACCGAUAACCCAAUAAGCUUUUUUCGGUUCAGGCUAUCGGUUUUACCCGAUAUAUGCCAAGCCCUAAUCUGCUCUACAUUCCGGAAGCACAAACUAAUUACACCAAAGCAAGAGCAGCAGUUGCCUAAUCAUUGUUACCAUGCACAUCAUGUCAACAGCGUCAUUCCUAAGACCAAGGAUAAAGCAAAAUUUUAAUGCUUCAACAGCAUCUUAAUUGCAGCAUCCUCAUCACAAUUCACAAACAUCAAGUGUGCUCUUAAUUUGUAACUAAAAAAUCCCUAAGGGCCAACUGGUGUAGUUCGUUAAUGGAUAAUGGACUCGCUCCUCUACAGGCCAACUGGUGUAGUUCGUUAAUGGAUAAUGGAUCUCUUUAUUUGUAACUAAAAAAUCCCUAAGGGCCAACUGGUGUAGUUCGUUAAUGGAUAAUGGACUCGCUCCUCUACAGGCCAACUGGUGCAGUACGUAACUCGGUGGAUAAUAGACUCACCACUCUACCCUACUUCACUUAAAUACCAAGCUUUAUUUAUGGCAACUCAAACCCGUGAUGCACGCCUUGCCCACACAUUACAUGAACUCUCUUGUCAUUGAACCAAAGCCCUAGGGGCAAGCACCAAGUGAUAUACUGUCUACAUUUUCCUAAAGUUAUAUGCUGCUCAACUGAUUAAGCCUCAAACUCCUGCAAGCUAUUUGGACAAAAAGAAAAAGGUACCAACUGGAUUCAAAUACUACUUUGUAACGGAAGUUCCUUUCCCUUUUCGAGCGUCCUUUUAAAAUAUUUCAAGCAGGAUAAAAAAUAGGCUCCAGAGUGCAAAAAUCACAAACGCCUACCAGGCUGUUUAUACCAGGUCAAUUCAAUGUAGGCAGAUUAUAGGCCACCCACUUUUGAGUUGAAACCAGAUGUAAAGAUUUGAUCUGAGAAUGACCUACAGAUUGCAAAUACCAAUCAUUGACUUUUGCUUGCCAAAACAACUAUCUACAUACAAAGAAUGCAAAGCUAUAUAGGUCGGUAAUAUGUAAAAUAAAAUUAGCCCAGAGAAAUUGAGUUCAAUAGAUGCAGCCAGACACAGUUUUGGAAUCGGAAUUAGAUGCCUUCGUUCACCUUCAAGUGGUAACCAAUAUGAAGUUACGAUCUUUUGAGCAACUAAUAGGCAGAGGAAAAUAUGUGCACAGGGAGAAGUUUCUGUCACUAAAAGAAAGAGAUGGCAGAAGAAAAUGCAGAAAAGGUUAUUUUGUCUGAGAAUCUUGUAGAGAAUUCGCAUGAGAUUGACAACAUUUGGUCUAGCUAUUGUAUAUGGGAUGAUCCCCUUCUACAUCAAUGGAAUAUUAUCUUACAAGAUGUAUAGAGAUAUGUUUCAAUCACUAAGAGAAGCAUAAUAUCCAUGAAUCAUGAUCACAAAUGAAGAUUGAAGCAGAGAGAAAGGAUUAAUGAAGCAUCCGCAAAGAGAAAAAGACAUCAAUAUAUAAAUGAUAUUUCUAGGUCAUUAGUAUACUGCUUGUGUAAGGGGAUUUCCCCAACAUAUCAAAAGUGAUUCCAUGAUGACUUGGGAACUACUAAAUGGACUAGAUACAGACGUUAUUUCUUUGGUUUCUCAAACUUAUCAACCUUAAUGCUGUCAGUAUUUCAUAGCCCACAUUUCACCUACAUUUAGAAAAGCAAACCCAGCAUCGCUAAACUUGUCAAGGCAGUACCAUCACAGACAUUUUUAAUCCUAUUUCUGCAGUAAAUCAUAACAUGGCAGCAUUAUUCACAAAGUCCUAUAUUCUUUAGCACUCCCAUGUUUGCUCCAUACAAAACUACUAUGCCUCAAUCCAUGUUGUCUCCGUGUGGAGGAAAUAAUACAAUAGUAAAAUGUUAAAAUCGGACAAAAAAUUCAUGCUAAUAAUGUACAAGUAUAUUACUAGAUAUUUUGACAUUUCAUCAGGCAGGUCAAAUGUCAACUUCCAACAGUCGCACAAAAUUAAAUAGCGUCCUCUUACAAGAACCAAUGUAGAAUAGAAUCUCCCUCUUUUCCAUAUAAAGUGAAUUUUAACAGCAUAUCUGCUACAUGCCUCAACCGCUAAAGGUUGGAAAACUACUAAUUAGCUAGUUGCAAAAAACAGCCAAAAUGGAUUACAGCUCUUCAUCCCUGAAUAUGAAUUUGAAAGUCAUUAUGAAUAUCAAAAUUCAAUAUUGACGUGAUACUCGCAUCAAGAAAGACAAUUAGAACACAGAAAAGCAUGCCACAGAAUCUCUAAACAUCAUUAAAGACUAGAAGUGAGAGCUUUAAAUAAAAUAACAUAUCUUUGAUUAACAUAGAAGAGCCAGCUACUCACAGCAGGUCAAUAUUUGAACUACGGAUUCCUUCAAAAUCAAAAUUGAUAAAAAAAUAAAAUACGAAAAGUAAAACAUGAAACUUGUGAGAGAGUAUGAGGGCAAUGCCUGCUGAAGACUUCAGGAUGGAAAGAAUCAGCUAAAGCUUAGGUGAUGCCCCCUGUUGAAUACUCCAUGAUAGUAGGAGUGUGGUAUAGAAAAAAAUCCUCUGAAGCUUCCAUCUUUCAGUUUUUUCCCAACCUCACUGGUCUUCUUAUUCUUCUUUCCAUCUUUCAAAGACAACUUACUCUUCUUCUGUUUCUCAGCACUUUUCAACUUCUUGGUCUUCUUCUCACCAUUCAACUCACUCAGAACAUCACCAUGCUUCUCAGCAUUUUUCAACUUUUUCUCUUUCUUCUCAGUUUUCCUCUUCUUUGCUUUCUCAACUCCAUCAUCCUCGCUCUCCUCGAUAUCAUCGUCAUAGUUGUCCCCUUCUGCAUCAUUGCCAACAUUUUCUGUGAUAAUACCAACAUCAUCAUCACUCUCCAAUUCAUCUACACCAGUGUCAAAGUCCAUAUAUCUAACUUCGUGAAUCCUCCCUUUAUUCUUCUUCCCCUUCUUAUUCCCUAAUCCCUCAUCAGCUUUCUUUUGACUCUCCUUAACCUCAACCAGACCACCACUCACUUCUUCUUCGGCUUGUUUCUCCUUAAACCCCUCAACUUCUUCCCCUUCUUAUUCCCUGACCCCUCAUCAGCUUUCUUUUGACUCUCCUUAACCUCAACCAAACCACCACUCAAUUCUUCUUCGGCUUGUUUCUCCUUAAACUCCUCAAUCUUGAGCUUGAUAUCAGGCAAAACCUGAUACAGAGGCAAUGCAGGAGAAUCAGAAAGCCUCAAGUGCAAGCUCCUCACACCGCCCCAUUUCUUGGGAACCACCUGAACAACACCCUUUAUUGCUUCCACCACAUUCUCCACAAUAUGCUCCCUCUCCAUUGAAACCUUACCAACCCUCAUCACACAACAAGUCCCAGUCCUUAAGUAAAACAACCAGGAACCACAAGCCCUUUCCACUUGCUCUUUCCAAUUUUUGUGAGUCAAAUCCAAUGGCAAAAGCGCCGGACCCACAAGCCCUCUCCACUUGCUCCUUCCAAUUUUUGUGAGUCAAAUCCAAUGGCAAAGGCAGCUUCUUCUUCUUGAAAAAUUGCUUCCCUAAAAGCUUAGGAAGCAAAUGAACAAUCCUCCUAUCGACCAAGAAAAGGUCGUAAGAAUCACAAAGCUUUCUUUUUGCUUCAAAGGGUUUGUAGUUAGUUUUAAGCUUCGAGAGCUUAAUGACUUUACUGAUGGGUAUGUUUUGGGAUUUAAUGAUCUUUUUGGCGGCGUCCGAAGUGAGUUUGGAAUUGGGUCUGUCGUCGAUGAUGAGGCAUAUCUCGGAGGAGGAAGGAACAUGAAUAGGAUUAGGGAAAGGGAUUCUGAAAGCGUUGGUACGAGGCUUUGGUGGGAUUUUGCUCGGAGGAGGAAGGAACGUUAAUGGGAUUAGGGAAAGGGAUUCUGAAAGCGUUGGUACGAGGCUUUGGUGGGAUUUUCUUGAGAGUGAGGUUGAGGUAGAUGAAGUCGUCUUGUGGGAGCAGUUGGGAUUUCUGGAUUUUGGACUGGGAUUCUUUCCGUUUUAGGAGGGCACUCACUGUCUUCUCUAUGGUGGCACGACUGAUCUUGGAGGCAGAGGGUGGCGAAGACUCCAUUGAGGUUUUUGGGGUGAGAAUGGAGAGGACUGAGAGGAGACGAUGCUAGGUUUAGGGUUUUUAGGUCAAGCACGCUAUGUGGGGUUUCGUAUAACGACUAUAUAUAUUAUUCAUUUAAAUGGAAAAUGGUUAAUAAUGCUCCUAAACUGUCAUAAAAGAUUUAUAAGUAUACCAUUUUAUCAAUCUUUUUGAUUCACUUAUACCCUUUGCCCGUUAGCUCAAUGGUUUGGACUGGGAUUCUUUCCAUUUGAGGAGGGCGCUCACUGCCUUCUCUAUGGUGGCGCGGCUGACCUUGGAGGCGGAGGGUGGCGGAGACUCCAUUAGGGUUUUUGGGGUGAGAAUGGAGAGGACUGGAGAGGAGACGAUGCUGGGUUUAGGGUUUUUAGGUCAAGCACGCUCGGUGGGUUUCGUAUAAAGACUGUAUAUCUAAAUUCUUUACUUAUUUAAAUAAAUAAUUAAGAAUAACAAAUUUAUUUGAAGAGGUGUUACCCUGCAGAUAGUAUAUUGCUAAUGUGACUAACCCACAUCCCUCGACUCUGUUUCUUUCUUUCCAUGCGACACCCCUCAAGUCCUGGACCUUAUUUGAUAUUGGGUCUUCGUCAAUUGUCAUCAAACUCGGUAAUUACACUAAUUAAAAUUUUGGUUCAUUUUUCUUUUCAAAAAUUUUAAUUAGAAAACUUACAUUUGGAAUCUUAUCUUCCCUUCCGGUCCAAUUUUAACUAAGAUUUUUGUACUAUGUAUUGACGACGUACAUAAAAAAAUAUACUUUUUUAAUUAUAACUUAUCACUAUUACAUUUUAUGUACGUGAUUAUCUUUAGAUACCUUUUAAUGCAUUUCAUUUUACACUUUUUCCUCCUUUAUCCGUACUUUUCUCCAAUAUUCUUUCUUUUCGUCUUGAGAGCUAAGCAGGUAUGUUUUUUUACCAUAUAUAUCCUAAUUGUAAUAAUCCAUAAAUAUAAAUAUAUUUAAUUAUAUGUUUGUUAUAUUGUUAACAAGAAGAAAAUUAAUUUGAUUUGAAGUGCCAUUUUUUAAAAUGUCAGGAAUAUGUCUUUUUAAUAAGUAACUAAUUUUUGUUUUUAAAGUUUAUUCAACCGUUGACGUUAGCAAAAAAAAUCAUAUAUGUAUUAUUAUAUUAUAUAUUAUUAAAAAUGAGAACCCCAGAACCAAAAAUUUAAAUUAUCAAAAUAUCUUUUUAAAUAACUUAAAUACCCUAAUUUUAAUUUUAUAAAUAUUAUCUAACAAUUAAUAUUUAUUAAAUGGGUUGGAAGAGAAGAAAACUAUGUGAUGUGCCUUUUCCGAAAAGUUGUGUUCAUUCAAAAUCGUAACUAACUACUUCUUCUAACACAUAUGCCACAAAUAUAAGUGCAUAAAAGUAUAUAUAAUCUUUGAUAUACAAAUUUGGCCCUGCAAUCCGUUCUUAUAUCUCCCAAGUUAAACAUGCAUAUUAACUCUAUGUAAACGUACGGUGAUGAUCACUUUCUCAACAUUUUUAUGUUUAAAGUUCAUGAAUAAAAACUAAGAUAAAACAUUACUGCCAUUAGCAUUUAUACAAUUAUUUUUACUUUUCUAAGAUUUAUAUUAGCCUUGUUAAUUUUUUAAAUAAUUAUACUAAUUACAUUAAAAAUACAAACUAUGGAGUAGCAUUGUUAUGUUAUGGUAUCUGCUAAUAUAUCUUGGUUCGAUAUUUUUUAUUUGUUACUUUUUUAGGAUGCUAAGUCAAAGGAUUAAUAACUAUUGUAUAAGAAAAGUUUCCAAUCAGAAGAUAUUUUCUUUUUAUGUAUCAAUUUUUUGUUUUACUCUCUUUUCGGUGGGAGAUUGAGGAGAUUUUUGUUGCACUAUUGAGUCAAGUUUCUAUUGCAGGUGGUUGCAAACAAGGGCCAAUUUUCUUAGUUUUGGUUUAAAUAAUUUUAAAUUCUCGAAGUGUGUGGAAUAUGAUUUCUAAUUCGAGAUUUUUAUGUUUGCAGAAAAAGCAAAAUUAGUUUAUCCUAUAUAAGAUGUUUAGUGUUCAAACAUGAAUGGUGAUGAUGAACUUAUGUUGGAGAAGCCAUACAAGGUUAGUUUUAACAUCUAAGUGUUUGAUAUUAUAUCAAGUGAUUUUACGCUUGUUUGUUUAUUAAAUGUGGAACACUUUAUAUGAUCAAUAUUGAAUAAAUUCCACAUAAAAGCUUGACACAAAUCCUAGAAGGGAAGUUAAAUUAAAGAAGAUAUGGUAGCUAUAUAUAUAUAUAUAUAUAUAUCUUAAAUCGAUGAAGACCUUUAUAGUCUAUUUGUAUACAAUAAAUUUGUCAAAAGAAAAAAAGGAAGGGUUGUAAAUCAUGCAUGGAGUCCUUAGAUUGAUUUUUUUAAAAGUACAUGAGUAAUCACCGACGGCUACAAUGAAAAAGCUGAUGGGUUAUUAGAUCAAGAUUGUGCUUUUAAAUUCUGAACUAUAUACUCAAUAACAAAAAAAUAAUACCAAAAUUAAAAUAGAUGAAAAAGAUUGGAUGACGUAAGAAAGAAAUUGAUAACACAAAUAGGAGGUUUUAAAAGAACUAACGAAACAUGUGAAUGCACUAAUUUUAUCUAUAAAGAUAUUUAACCUUACAUUAUUAUAUACUAAUGUUAUAAAUUUAAUAGUUUUCCUCCGUUAUAAUUUUUUUUUAAAUUUAUAUGGAAUAGUAUCUAGAAAACAUAUAGCAUGAACACUUUAGAACAAUGAAGUUGUGUGGAAUAAAAUUUAUGAUUAAAUAAAAUAAAUUAGCAUCUAUACAAAUUACAUGCGAGUUUUCAUGAAAAAUGUCUUGAGUGUCAUCAAUUUUUAUAUGAAAAUUUACCUACAAAAAUAAAGUAGACAUUAUUAUUUUUUCUUCCGGAAAAAUUACCUAAUUUUUUUGGGAGUUAGAAUAAAAUUCCAGGUUCAUCGAGAAAUUUAUCUGGAACUUACCUAAUAACUUUUGCCAAAGGAUUUCACGAGAAUUUUUCGAUGAAACUUUCAUGGGGAUUUCCUACAUAAAAGUAUUCUUGUGGUUAUAUUUGUGGAUUUUCAUCGACAUAUUCUUGUGGAAUUAUCAUUGGAAAUCACAUUACCAUAACUUUUGGCCUAUUGUUUCCUAAGGAUUUACAUGAAGUUUUGAAAAUUACUUGUAGACUUUUUCUCAUAAAAAAUUCAGGUAAAUUUGUUUUGUUGACACUACUUAAUUAAAAAAAUAUUGUGAAAGAAUUCGCAAGUAAUUUACAAAUAAAUUUGUAAUUCCUAGGUAACUUAUCUAAUAAUUUAAAAUCUCUAAAUAACUUACUUGAGGAUCUACAUAAUUCUUUAUAUGCCCGAUUUUAUGUUGUACUUUCAAGAAAAGUAUUAAUAUCGACCAACAAGAAUUUUAAUCAUUAAAAAAAAAUAACAUCAAGAAUAUCAUAUAUAUAAGAAAACAUUUGAGAUACGCUUCAUUAAAUGUAUGUACCUUAUAAAAUCAAAAUAAGUAAAAUAAAAACACAUGUGCUUUACUAAAAUGUAAUUUUUCAUCUUCAUAAAUUUAUGUGAUAUCCAUCUUUGACUACAGCAAACAAAUCAUCAUUCAACGAUCAACAUUAAUCGUUUACAGAAAUUUGCACUUUAUUUGUCCACGUAUAUGAUUAUGUACUGAAAUCUUUAUUUUGAUAGUAUUGAUAUUAUUUUAUAAAAUCGUAUCAAUAUGAUUAGGUAUACACGUGCAACGCACGUGUCGAGAAACUAGUACUAUAUUAAAAUCACGAAGGCCCUUAGCGAGAUGUUGUUCGACUUUUUUGCCCUUUAAAAAUAAAGUUUACAAAUAGACAAAACAGUCAUUUAUAUUAAUUUUCUAAUAUUUAGGAAUAGCCCUUUAAGUAUCUCCUACUAAAGACUAUAAUUUUAACUAAAAUUGGGUUAAUAUUUUUUUCUUAUUUGAAGCAAGUAAAAGUUUUUGUAUUUAGAAAUUCAAAGUCAACAUAUCUCUAAUUACAAAUAUGGUAGUCAAUAUUUGUGAUUUGAAAUUGAAUAGGCACGAUCAAAGAAAUGUAGUUUCAAUUUCUAUUUUUAUAUCCAGAGUUUAUUAUAAAAUUAAGACAAAAAGUUGAUUGUUAACCUUAUUAAUUUCUAAUUCAAAUAAGUUAACAAAACUAUUAAUUUGUUUGACAUUAGAUAUCUUAUCGGUAGACAAGACUUUUUUUUCCAGAGUUUAAGUUUUCUCUUAAUAUUUAGAAGUUUUAUAUCAACUAAAUUUUUUGCAUUAAAUUCUUUGUUAAAUAUUUAUGCAAAAUUUUCUUUUUCUAAAUUAUGUAACAUAUGAAUUUAUAAAAAAAUAAUACCAAAAAUAAAAUAUUCCAUGAGUAAAAAAUUGUUAUUACUUGUUAUAUGUUUGAAUUACUCUUUGGCGGAGAAAUAUAACCAAUUAAUUCUAAUUUAGUAAAAAUAAAAUAUAAAAUUUAGAGAAAGACAAAAUAAAAAUUAUACCUAAAGUCGAUAAAGUUGAUCAGCAAUUCUCCGUUUUUUGUUAUUCUCGAUGCUAGAUUUAUAAUCGAUCAUUGAAAUUAAAUCCAUAAAUUUAUGUAAUUUAAUUAUCUUAGUAAAAUAAGAAAUAGAAAAACAUUUUACGUGAAAUAUUAUGGUUGUUUCUCAAAAAAAAAUAUGAUUGAUCUUUGAAGAUACAAUAGAAUAUUCAUCAUCCUUUAAUCAUAUGCACCUUCUAUAAAAAUUAAUGUAUCAAAAUAUAAAUAUAUAUAUUAUUCAAAUAGUACUAUAUUUCUAUAAAUAACCUAAAUUUUACGAUAAGGAUAUUAUUUAACUCAAAAUCAAAUUCAAUAAAUAGUUUCACAAUAACAGAUACCAAUUGCAUGCCAAAUAUAUACCAUGGAUAGAUGCACAAAGCGUGUAUUCUUAUGGAAAAGUAUUCUUUCCUUGAGGUAGAAAGUCCUAUUUUGUAGGAUUUUAAAAUCUAUUAAAAGCAAUUAGAAAUUGUCACUUGCUAAAUAGAAAUUCCUCUUUCGACCAAUAUUAUCAUUUUUAGGAAGUUAUAUUUUUAUUUUAUACUUCAAAAUAUUAUUAAAAAUAUUUUUUUACAUUAUAUACUCAUUAAUAUAGGUGCACGCUCAAAGCACGUACCCUAAGACUAGUUCACUUAAAUGGAAAAGGGUUAAAAAUGCUCCUAAACUAUUACUAUAAAAAAUAUAAAAAAAUAUUCCUUUAUCCAUUUUUUUGGUUCACUUUAUACCCUUUGACCGUUAGGUCAAUGCUGAACUAAAAAUAAUAACAACAACUACCUAGUAUAGUCCCACAAAGUGGGGUCUGGGAGGGUAAUAUGUAGACGGGCCUUACCCCUACCCGANNNNNNNNNNNNNNNNNNNNNNNNNNNNNNNNNNNNNNNNNNNNNNNNNNNNNNNNNNNNNNNNNNNNNNNNNNNNNNNNNNNNNNNNNNNNNNNNNNNNNNNNNNNNNNNNNNNNNNNNNNNNNNNNNNNNNNNNNNNNNNNNNNNNNNNNNNNNNNNNNNNNNNNNNNNNNNNNNNNNNNNNNNNNNNNNNNNNNNNNNNNNNNNNNNNNNNNNNNNNNNNNNNGGGAGACACAAUCCAAUACACAAAUCAUCUAUGGAUAGCCCUACCAAGCCUCACCCAACCCCGGGUGAGGAGUACGAAAAACUCUAGUAGCCUUUAUCCUACAACCCUGAUACUAGACCUCCAGACUUUCCUAUCAACGACCAUGUCCUCGGAAACCCGCAUUCAUGUAAUGCCUAAUCACCUCUCCCCAAUACCUCUUAGGCCUCCCUCUGCCUCGUCGUACGCCGACCAUNNNNNNNNNNNNNNNNNNNNNNNNNNNNNNNNNNNNNNNNNNNNNNNNNNNNNNNNNNNNNNNNNNNNNNNNNNNNNNNNNNNNNNNNNNNNNNNNNNNNNNNNNNNNNNNNNNNNNNNNNNNNNNNNNNNNNNNNNNNNNNNNNNNNNNNNNNNNNNNNNNNNNNNNNNNNNNNNNNNNNNNNNNNNNNNNNNNNNNNNNNNNNNNNNNNNNNNNNNNNNNNNNNNNNNNNNNNNNNNNNNNNNNNNNNNNNNNNNNNNNNNNNNNNNNNNNNNNNNNNNNNNNNNNNNNNNNNNNNNNNNNNNNNNNNNNNNNNNNNNNNNNNNNNNNNNNNNNNNNNNNNNNNNNNNNNNNNNNNNNNNNNNNNNNNNNNNNNNNNNNNNNNNNNNNNNNNNNNNNNNNNNNNNNNNNNNNNNNNNNNNNNNNNNNNNNNNNNNNNNNNNNNNNNNNNNNNNNNNNNNNNNNNNNNNNNNNNNNNNNNNNNNNNNNNNNNNNNNNNNNNNNNNNNNNNNNNNNNNNNNNNNNNNNNNNNNNNNNNNNNNNNNNNNNNNNNNNNNNNNNNNNNNNNNNNNNNNNNNNNNNNNNNNNNNNNNNNNNNNNNNNNNNNNNNNNNNNNNNNNNNNNNNNNNNNNNNNNNNNNNNNNNNNNNNNNNNNNNNNNNNNNNNNNNNNNNNNNNNNNNNNNNNNNNNNNNNNNNNNNNNNNNNNNNNNNNNNNNNNNNNNNNNNNNNNNNNNNNNNNNNNNNNNNNNNNNNNCCACUGGAAAAUGGUCUGAGUCGCCACCCACCGUCCUAACCCUAGUCUUAGCUCCAUCGUACAUGUCCUUGAUUACUCUGAUGUAGUCUUCUGGCACGCUCUUCGCCUCCAAGCACCUCCAUAGCACCACCCUUGGGACCUUGUCAUACGCCUUCUCCAAGUCGAUAAGCACCAUGUGCAGGUCCUUUUUCUUAUCCCUGAAAUAAUUAAAAAUAAUAAUUAUUUAAAUUUCACGUGAAAACUUUUUAUGGAUCGAAAUUAAAACAUCUAACCUAUUAAAAAGACCCACCCAUAUCUACUCGUUUAGGACUAUUCUGCCCCAAAUAUAUCUAUGUACUACUAAAAAGGGUUUAAAUGUAACCCUCGUUACCAAUAGUGUAUGGGGUCGAAUUUAACCCCCAACAUCCCGUACCAAUGGACACGCCCUGUAUGUACAAGUCCAGUAUUGUGCGGGCACGUCCCAGACAUAGGAACGAAUACGACGUCGCUUAGGACAAAACGUCUUCACCAAAAAGACGUUACCUACCUUUGUACCUUUAUCAUUAUUGUUAUUUAUUAUUUCGAGGAAGGUCUCCUAUUAUAUAAAGGAGACCUCCACAUUGUAACAGGCAUCAGCGUUAUUUUCAAUAAAACAACUCUCUUGUUCUCUCUAUCUCUAACGAAUACUCUCUCUCUCCGAAACUCUUACUAUCUAUUUGCAUUAUCAGAUCUACGUUUACAAGAUCAUCUUUCUUACCUCUAGGUCUUAUUAUAUUUGAUUACGAUUUACCCUUAUUCACUUUUGAUUGUUUUUAAACUUACAAAGUAUGUAGAUAGCUUUGAGCCAAAUAAUUUGGCGCCGUCUGUGAGGAUUUCGAGAAUCAAAAUCACAAUUUGCACCUAGAGAACAAUCGACAACCAUCCUCUACACCACGAAAUAAAAAAUGGAUGAAAACAACACAAGAAUGAAAGUAAUAGUAAAUGUUACAACCAACCUCUUGGGUCCUCUCAAUGAAGUUGGUGAAGAGGAUAUUUUGAAUGCAACUCCUAGCACCACAUCAAGUGGACAGAUCCCUCCUCCCCCAUCCGAAGAUCUGGCAAUCUUGCGUGAAAAGGGUGCUUUUACAUCUGUGACCAAGGAAGCACCCUCGGAGGUCAAGAAGCUACUGGAAGAGUGGCUAACAAGUGCUCUAAGUGUCUUGGUUGAGAAGUCACCACAAAGUAACAUCAGAUAUGCACCGACUGUAGACCUUACCAUUGCCAAAGCUGAACCUGAUGUUGUGUGGGCAAAUAACAUGCCAAUCGAGGUAUGGGCCGAGGAUGGCACGCUCACAGCCAUAGUAAAAAAGAUGGAAGAAAUGGAAAAUGAAAACAAGUCACUUCGUGACUAGAUAAAGGAACACCAGGAGAGGGUUGACAAGAUCCCCGGUGCUCAGUUACUGCCAAAGCGCGAUGUGGGAAGAUUUGUUAAACAACCUUACACCGAGUAAGCUGCCCAGUGCUCCAUCCUAAAGACCUUCAAAAUACCACCCUACCUAAAGGUAUAUGGCGGAACUACAGAUCCCGAGGAUCAUCUGAUUCACUAUGUCACGGCGGUAAAGGGCAACGACCUAUCAAAAGAGCAGGUACCAUCCGUGCUACUAAAAACGUUUGGUGAAACAUUGAUAGGAGGAGCCCUGACAUGGUACUCCCAGCUACCGGCUAAUAUCAUUUCUACAUUCGAGGAAAUGGCGGACAAGUUCGUUACCGUGUAUGCAAGAGCAAAGAGAGCAGAAGCAAGGGUCAACGAUAUCUUCGCUUUCCGUCAAACCAUAGUAGAAGGACUCAAGGACAUCUUAGCCAGGUUUAACAAAGUGAGGAUGAGCUUACCAAACGUGUCGGAAGGCAUGGCAGUAGCCGCUUUCCGGAAUGGGCUAAAUAGAGACAGUUCGAGGGCAACUAAAAAGCUAUUGAGCCGCCUCAUGAGGUAACCCUACCACAUGGGAAUAAAUCCAUAAUGCCUAAUGUGCCGAGGUACGAGCAGACGAGGAUGACCUCAAUGGGCCGACCCAACAGUUAACAACGAUACAUCCAGAAAUCAGAAAGGAUCGACAUAUCGAGGGACGGCGGCAACAAAUCCCACGUCUCGACAACGAAAGGCACCACCCUACGUCAGAUCCUCCCAUCUGCCACCACCAAGACACACGGAUGCACUACGACGACACAUCGCCCCACUCCGAAACAAAAGAGGUAUGCCUCUUUUAUUAUCUGCCCAUGACUUUUGUGUGUCUCCUUCAAAAAUAGUGUACGCACUUGAGAAAUUGGGCACCAAGGUGCAACGGCCGACAAAUAUGACGUCAGACCCCACCACAAGGAAAUCAAAUGUCCUAUGUGAGUUCCAUCAUAAACGGGGGCACAAAACCGAAGACUGCAUAGGUUUACAGCAAGAGGUGGUCAGGAUGCUGAAUCAGGGAUACUUGAGGGAGCUACUCAGUGACAAAGGAAAACAAACUUUGCACGCGGAUGGGAUCAACCCCAUGGGCCGCCGAAGCCUCCCUCCCCGGCACGUACAAUAAACAUGAUCAUCGGAGGCAGCGAUGACUCAGCGAUCAACCACGUCAAGUUCACCAACACUCACAAACUAAGGCGAACCAUCGCCCAUGACGUAUGACGACUUCGAAGAUAGUAUCACCUUCAAUAAGUCUGAUGCCGACGGUUUGUCUUUCCCUCAUUACGAUGGGUUAUCACUUUAUGUAUCACCGAUACGGAUGUUAAAACAAUUAUGGUUGACGAUGAAAGUGGUGCCUGUAUUAUCCAUUUGGGGGUCCUAGUGCAAAUGGGACCCGAAGAUAAGAAAUAGUGCGUUGUAUCACACUAACUGGUUUUAACAAUGCAGUAGAACCGAUGUCUAGAGAAGUAUCACUGCCCGUCCUAGCAGGAGGAGUCACGCUGGAAAAAACUUUCCACGUGAUGAACCUGGAAACAACGUACAACGCCAUCAUAGGACAUCCAUGGAUACACGCCACGUGAGCGGUCCCUUUAAGCUUUUACCAUGUGAUCAAAUUCCCAUCAUAAGACAACUUACUCUUCUUCUGUUUCUCAGCAUUUUUAAACCUUUUCGCUUUCUUCUUAGUUUUCCUCUUCUUUGCUUUCUUAACUCCAUAAUCCUCUCUCUCUUCAAUAUCUUCAUCAUUGUUGUCCUCUUCUGCAUCAUUGCCAACAUUUUCUACGAUAAUACCAACAUCAUCAUCACUCUCCAAUACAUCUACACCUGUGUCAAAGUCCAUAUAUCUAACUUCAUGAAUCCUCAAUUUAUUCUUCUUCCCUUUUUUAAUCCCUGACCCCUCACCAUCUUUCUUUUUACUCUCCUUAACCUCAACCAAACCAGCACUCACUUCUUCUUCGGCUUGUUUAUCCUUAAACCCCUCAAUCUUGAGCUUGAUAUCAGGUAAAGCUUGAUACAAAGGCAAUGUAAGAGAAUCAGAAAGCCUCAAGUGCAAGCUCCUCACACCGCCCCAUUUCUUGGGAACCACCUGAACAACACCCUUUAUUGCUUCCACCACAUUCUCCACAAUAUGCUCCCUCUCCAUUGAAACCUUACCAACCCUCAUCACACAACAAGUCCCAGUCCUUAAGUAAAACAACCAGGAACCACAAGCCCUUUCCACUUGCUCUUUCCAAUUUUUGUGAGUCAAAUCCAAUGGCAAAAGCAGCUUCUCUUUCUUGAAUAAUUGUUUCCCUAAAAGAUCAGGAAUCAAAUGAACAAUCCUCCUAUCGACCAAGAAAAGGUCGUAAGAAUCACAAAGCUUUCUUUUUGCUUCAAAGGGUUUGUAGUUAGUUUUAAGCUUCGAGAGCUUAAUGACUUUACUGAUGGGUAUGUUUUGGGAUUUAAUGAUCUUUUUGGCGGCGUCCGAAGUGAGUUUGGAAUUGGGUCUGUCGUCGAUGAUGAGGCAUAUCUCGGAGGAGGAAGGAACAUGAAAGUAUGUUUUGGGAUAUGAUGAUCUUUUUGGCGGCGUCCGAAGUGAGUUUGGAAUUGGGUCUGUCGUCGAUAAUGAGGCAGAGAUCGGAGGAGGAAGGAUCGUGAAUAGGGUUAGGGAAAUGGAUUCCUAAAGCAUUUGUACAAGGAUUUGGUGGGAUUUUCUUGAGAGUGAGGUUGAUGUAGAUGAAGUUGUCUUGUGGGAGCAGUUGGGCUUUCUAGAUUUUGGACUGGGAUUCUUUCCAUUUGAGGAGGGCGCUCACUGUCUUCUCUAUGGUGGCACAACUGACCUUGGAGGCGGAGGGUGGCGGAGACUCCAUUGGGGUUUUUGGGGUGAGAAUGGAGAGGACUGGAGAGGAGACGAUGCUUGGUUUAGGGUUUUUAGGUCAAGCACGCUCGGUGGGGUUUCGUAUAAAGACUAUGUAUAUUAUUCAUUUAAAUGGAAAAGGGUUAAAAAUGCUCCUAAACUAUCAUGAAAGAUUUAUAAAUAUACCCUUUUAUCCAUCUAGUUGGUUCACGUAUACCCUUUGACCGUUAGGUCAAUGUUGAAUUAAAAAUAAUAUUUAUUUAAAUUUCAAGUGGAAACUUUCUAUGUAUCGAAAUUAAAAUAUCUAACUUAUUAAAAAGACUCACUGAUAUCUACCCGCUUUUGACCAUUCCGCCCCAAAUAUACAUAUGUACUACCUAAAAAGGUUUAAACGUAACCCUCGUUAUACUUUGAAUCGAAAUAUACCCUUUGUCGUUAUGCUAUUGGUUCAAAUAUACCCCUUUUUUUGUUAAGUUUGUCCAAAGUAGACAUUCAAUCUUAUGUGACACUAAUAUUUGAUGAGGUGUAUUUCACAUGAUCGCCACUUCAGCGCCCCUAACACAUUUUAUCCCUCCCUUCUAUUUCUUUUUCCACGCCUAAAAUUUUCUUCCUCUCCACUUACCGCUACCAUGAAAAGUAUUAUAUUUUAAAUUUUAGUCUUUUAUAUAUAUGGAUUAGAGGCAAUAAGGUGGCAGCCAUGUGGAAUUCACCACAUCAAAUAUUAGUGUCAUGUUGGAUUGGAUGUUCAUUUUGGACAAACGUAACAGAAUAGGAGUAUAUUUGAACCAAUAGUAUCACGGUAGGGAUAUAUUUGGAUUCAAUAUUUAAAUAUUUUCUCAUAGUACAUGGGUAUAUUUGGCCCUUUGCAAAUUUCACGUAGCAACUUCUUAUUUGAAAUUAAAACAUCUAAUCUAUUAAAAAGACCUACUCAUAUCUACUCGUUGUUCGGACUAACCCGCCACAAACACUACCCCACUUCUAUUUAACUCCAACUUAUAAAAGGCCAAUUUGUAGGAAGACCAAUAGAUUUUAAAGCAAGAAUGUCGUACUUCAGUUCAUAUAGUAGAGGCAUCCUAGAUCUUCUUUAGCUUUUCUACUACAACAACAGGAAUUGCCUUUGCAAUAGCAUCCCGACCAGUAUUCUUCGAAUCAUAUGGGUAGUUGUGCUUGUCAGAAUAAUGAUGAUUAGCUUUUCUACUACUAACAACAGGAAUUGCCUUAGUCAUAGCAUCCCGACCAGUAUUCUUCUAAUUAUAUGGGUAGUUGUGCUUGUCAGAAUAACGAUGAGCCGCACAUAAAGGAUUUCCACACUUGCAAUUGAAUCUUGUUAAACCUAUACGCUUGCGACAAGUAGUUGGUCCCUCUUUUGACUUUACAUCUGAACUUUAACCUGGGGAUAAAUCUGAAGAUGCUCUUUUUCAUUACUGCUAGACUUUCCAUUUACAAUGUUUCGAUUGAUGUAGCUGCAAAUUUAGUUUGCCUUGCUUCAGUAUCAUGUCCUUGUUACACUUAGAACACAUAUUCAUGCUAUUUGCACUAAAUUUGCAAAGUUAGGAGUAAUAGGUAUUCGCUAAAGAAAUAUAACGAUUAAUUUUAACAUUACAACUAACUCACAAGCAGAAAAAUAAUAUUGCAGGCAAGAGGGGUUGCUUCGAUGGUAAGCAACCCCCACUUCCAACCGAGAGGUUGUGAGUUCGAGUCUCCCCAAGANNNNNNNNNNNNNNNNNNNNNNNNNNNNNNNNNNNNNNNNNNNNNNNNNNNNNNNNNNNNNNNNNNNNNNNNNNNNNNNNNNNNNNNNNNNNNNNNNNNNNNNNNNNNNNNNNNNNNNNNNNNNNNNNNNNNNNNNNNNNNNNNNNNNNNUCGGGGGUCUAUUUGGAAACAACCUCUCUACCCAAGGGUAGGGGUAAUGUCUGCGUACAUGUUACCCCCAGACCACUAAGUGGGAUUAUAUCAAUCAUCUUAUCGAUGAAAUAAUAUAAAUAGAUAAAGAUGAGAAUGAAGAUAGACAAAAAAACUUAGAGCAAACAGAGUUACAAAUGGAUACUCCACAAAGCAAGGUGGGAAGUUCUUGGAGGGCCUCUCUACCCAAGGGUAGGGUUAAGAUCUGCGUACAUACUACCCUCCCCAGACCCACUAAGUGGGAUUAUAUUCAAUCAUCUUAUCCAUGAAAUAAUAUAAAUAGAUAAAGAUGAGAAUGAAGAUAGACAAAAAAAAACUUAGAGCAAACAGAGUUACAAAUGGAUACUCCACAAAAAGGUAAACGAAAAAAAAAAACACUAAAUCAAAAAAAAUACUGAAGUUUUUUUCUAAGAUCUUAAACGUUUAAAGGUUAUGUAUUUUUAUUGAAACUCAAAAGAAAGCAUAAUCAAUAUUCUUCAAUUUCAAGAGUUUAAAGUUUUAUUUAUUACUUAAAUAUAAUAUUUAAUAUAGUAAUAUUUUAUUCAUCAAGAUAAAAUACAUGCACAACGCGCGAAUGUAAAUUUCAAAUAUGGUACAAAACAUAAUUUAAAAAAUUAUUAUACUUUUUAUAUUAUUGUAUAAGUACUAAACCCAAUACAAAAAAAUAUUUUUUAAUACUGAAAAUAAUUAAUUAAGUCUUUGAAUUAAUUACUUCUCAAUUCAGUUUAUAUACAACCUUUUAGUUUCUCGAGAUUCAAACUAUAUAAACUUUGACCAAAAUUUUUAAAUAUUUCUUUAAUCAUAUUGACAUGAAAAGACUGCAACUUAAUAAUAUUGUUCGUAUAGUUUCUGAAUAUCUAACUUUUAACUUUAAAAUAUCAAAUUAAUCUAAUUCAAUUUAGCUUUAAAGUUAACUCUUGAAAAGUGAAAAGAUUCACGUAAACUAGAAAAGAAGGAGUAAUUAGCAAAAUAAUCAUUUCUUAUAAAUCAUCAUAUAAAUAAAACUAUUUUUUAAAUAUAUAAAACUCUUAAGAUACAUAAAUUUAUUUUCACAAGAAGAGCAUUGACGGUUAAAAAAAUAAAAAAAAUAGAGCACAAUUGAUUGUGUUAAAGUUUAAUUUGUUAUUUGUUAUUCGUAUUAGGUAAUAAAAAUAACAAGGAUGUUCAUAAGAUAACCACGUAUGUCCUAAGAAAUUACAAUGACGCAUAUGUAAGAUAAAAUUUCUUUAUUAUUGAACAAGCUAAAUUGGAUUAAUAUAUUUUUUUUAGGAGCUUAGAUCUUUUUUCAUUAAGUUUUGUUCAAUAACUCAAAUAAAAUAUUUAAUAUAUUUACCUUUUUUAAUUAUAUACUCAUGAUAUAGAUACACGCGAGAGGUUGUGAGUUCGAGUCUCCCAAGAGCAAGGUGGGAAGUUCUUGGAGAGAAGGAUGCCGGGGGUCUAUUUGGAAACAGCCUCUCUACCCAAGGGUAGGGGUAAGGUCUGCGUACACACUACCCUCCUCGGACCCUACUAAAUGAGAUUAUACUGGAUUGUUGUUGUUGUUGAUAUAGAUACACGCGCAAAACGCGUACCCUAAGACUAGUCCUCUUAAAAUUGCCGGCGAUAUUUGUCAUCAUGUUUUUUUUUACUUCUCUUUUUGGCUCUUGGGGCCUCCGUUUGUGAACGAAUCAAGUGUUAAUGAACAACCUUUUGGAAUUUACAUGUCAGACGACAAUUUAAGACACAAAUACUCUUUCCAACGGCAAGAUAAGGUACUUGGGUUCUUUAGGGACCAAAGGUGCAACGUUUUGGAAGUCACCUAGUAGUAGACCAUCACUUCCUCCAAAAAUUAAGUUUAACGAAAAUCAAUUUGACCAAUUUCUAUAGUUAAAUUACAGUCGAUGGUGAGUAUUAAAUUUCAAAGAAACUUUUUAAGUUAAUACCUAUCCUCAUUAAAAUUACAGUACAAAACACUCUGAACAACAAUAACAACAACAACUACCCAGUAUACUCCCACCAGGUGGGGGUUGGGGAGGGUAAUAUGUAGACAAGCCUUACCCCUACCCGAAAGGGCAGAGAGGCUGUUUCCANNNNNNNNNNNNNNNNNNNNNNNNNNNNNNNNNNNNNNNNNNNNNNNNNNNNNNNAAUAUGUAGACAAGCCUUACCCCUACCCGAAAGGGCAGAGAGGCCGUUUCCAAUCGACCCCCGGCUCAACAACAACAACAACUACCCAGUACAAAACACUCUGAACGAGUUCCUAAAAUCGUGAUUUGAACCUUGAAAAGCGACGAAUGAGUACUUUUGGACGAGAAAAUUUUUGAGUCUCCCUUCACGUUGAUAUCUACCAGUCUAAAAAAAAGACAAUUUUUUUGACCAGUAGGAUGAUUUUUUCAGUCGUUUGUAUAGCUGAACAGAAAUUUAACAAAGUGGGAAGAUUCAAAAACAGAGCUUCCUGGAAAAAUGAAAAGUUGUAAAUCGUUAAUACGACAGUCAAAAGCACUAUGUCCUUUAAAAAUGUGUUUGUAGCUUAUGUCUUUUUUACAAGCGGUCUUCAUUUCUGCACAUAAGAGAUCUCAAAAUAAAACACAAGAGAUCUGAAAAGAUCAUUUCUUCUAUUGAAAUUGUAAGUGGCUAUAGGAGACUAUUUCCUCGUAAAAACCACUUCUCUGUAAAAAGGAUAUACAACAACCCAGUAUAAUCCCACUUAGUGGAGUCUGGGGAGGGUAGUGUGUACGUAGACCUUACCACUACCCUUAGGUAGAGAGACUGUUUUCAAAUAGACCCCGACAUCCUUCCCUCCAAGAACUUACCACCUUGCUCUUGGAAAAACUCGAACUCACAACCUCUCGGUUGGAAGUAAGGAUUGCUUACCAUUAGAGCAACCCCUCUUUGAUAAAUAACCACUCAAUGAUAUCUGUCUGUUCUUCAACAAGCUCUAAACGGAAAAAGGAAAACAGGACAAGAAACUACAUGGAAAAUGGAGACUGGAAGCCCUCCAAAAUCACAUCGCAUAAACACCAUAAUUAAUCAUCCAGACAAGCAGAAACAGAAACUUGCAUAAAAGACGAAAGGGACUUUUUUCGAGAGCAAAGUAUAUCCUUGAGUUGUAAAAGAAUAAUGACAGUCUGUACGCGACGCUUUCAGAAAAAAUUCUGGAGUCCCUUAAUGGUCAUUGCUUAUAGAGUAAUAACAUUAAAAAACAGUUGGAUAUGCCAGCGAAAAUAUUUCCUUGCAGGUUCAGUAAAAAAUCAAGGCCCUAUUCAAUAAAGCAAUUACGAAAAGGUAACCAUCCACCCAUCCCCAAGGAAAUAUGUUAGUGGUUGAAGCAUAGAAGUAACCUAAAAAUCCUAGGUCUGAAUCCCAGCAACAACAUUUAGUCUAAGCCCAUCUGCUCAUGAGAGCCAACCCAUCAAGUCUGCUUGUUGGUAUAUUAGCCGAGGUACACGCAAGCUCGCCCGAAUAUCAUUACCAUCAAAAAUUAAAUUGAAAAAAGUAAACAUCAAUCCAACAAAAGCAUACCUGUGCAUCAAACACAAAUAACAUCUUUGUCUUCUAACCAACGGAAUCGCCACGGAUGAUCUUAUACUGCUUCAGAGCUGUAAAAUCAAACAUCAAUUACCAGACCCCUGCAACUAAUCAGAUAAACGAAGCCAACAAAAUGAAUCUGAGCCGAUACAGAACAAGCAAACUUUAGACAUGAAAUUGCUCGUAUUAUGUAGAGGAAAAUGCUACACAUACAACACUAGAACUCCUGCUAACAUCUAAUGACUCUACAAAGAGCUAAGCUCCUCAGUAUAUAGCAGAAGGUUCUAAAUGCCUGGGCAGAUAAACAAUCACUAGUUUUAGAAGCACCAUAACUAUCUUUCUGCAAUAUUAGUUCAUAGCAAAAAUUGCAAAAAUACAAGAAAAUUACCAUAUAUCGAAGAGAAAAACAUGAGUACCCUAAGCUCAACAUGAUCGAAGCAAAACAGGACCCACGGAUGAGCUGAGCAUAUCACUCAGGGCUAACUGAAUCUAAUUUGAGCCAUGCUCACAACUUAUCAAGCUUGAAAGUAAUGGGAAGAAGCAAGACAAGUUUUUCUCAAAUGAUGCAUCUCCUAAACUACAUAUUGCCUGGAGAGUUCCAAUGAUAAGAGGUGCACGUGCAGCCAACUCUCUCCUUCUACCAGAGCCAAGGGGGAUUAACCAACGAAGUUGUGCACCAAGAGAUGACUCAGACAUUUGUCUUGAACGUGCAAUUUCAAUAUAGAAGUGUAAGACCUCGCUGCAAAGGUUGACGAGGUAAGUUUCCACUUCAGAAUCUUCAAAACCUGUAGGUUUAUCUUGCACAAGAUUUUGUAAAAAUGAGAGGCAAAUUUGAUAUGCCUCAUUCUCAAGCCGUAAUAAUGGAGGGUCCUGCAUUUGGGUCAUGGAACUGAACUCUAGAAGCUUUGACCGCAGUGUUGCGUCAC